UACAGAGGAGCCAAGCGUUGUCCGGAUUGACUGGGCGUAAAGCGCACGCAGGCGGAGGCGGGCGUCGGUGCGGAAAGGUCGCCGCUUAACGGCGGAGAGCGUACCGAUACGCCGCUUCUGGAGCGCGGGCGAGGGUGGUGGAAUUGCCGGUGUAGUGGUGAAAUGCGUAGAGAUCGGCAGGAACACCCGUGGCGCAAGCGGCCACCUAGCCCGUUGCUGACGCUGAGGCGCGACAGCGUGGGGAGCGAACUGG
rnacentral:rRNA from 1 species